rnacentral:rRNA from 1 species
AUUGAACGCUGGCGGCAGGCCUAACACAUGCAAGUCGAACGAGGGGCGGAGGGGUGAGAAAUGUCUGGAAAAGUGCGAGAGGGAGGGGGAUCACUACGGGAAAGGGUAGCUAAUACCGCAAACCAUCGGAUGUGCCCAGAUGGGAGUAGCUAGUAGGUGGGGUAACGGCUCACCUAGGAGAAGAGCCCUAGCUGGUCUGAGAGGAUGACCAGCCACACUGGAACUGAGACACGGUCCAGACUCCUACGGGAGGCAGCAGUGGGGAAUAUUGCACAAUGGGCGCAAGCCUGAUGCAGCCAUGCCGCGUGUAUGAAGAAGGCCUUCGGGUUGUAAAGUACUUUCAGCGGGGAGGCGUUACCCGCAGAAGAAGCACCGGCUAACUCCGUGCCAGCAGCCGCGGUAAUUC